rnacentral:rRNA from 1 species
AACGAACGCUGGCGGCAUGCCUAACACAUGCAAGUCGAACGAGACCUUCGGGUCUAGUGGCGCACGGGUGCGUAACGCGUGGGAAUCUGCCCUUGGGUUCGGAAUAACAGUGAGAAAUUACUGCUAAUACCGGAUGAUGUCUUCGGACCAAAGAUUUAUCGCCCAGGGAUGAGCCCGCGUAGGAUUAGCUAGUUGGUGGGGUAAUGGCCUACCAAGGCGACGAUCCUUAGCUGGUCUGAGAGGAUGAUCAGCCACACUGGGACUGAGACACGGCCCAGACUCCUACGGGAGGCAGCAGUGGGGAAUAUUGGAAAAUGGGCGCAAGCCUGAUCCAGCAAUGCCGCGUGAGUGAUGAAGGCCUUAGGGUUGUAAAGCUCUUUUACCCGGGAUGAUAAUGACAGUACCGGGAGAAUAAGCUCCGGCUAACUCCGUG